rnacentral:misc_RNA from 1 species
ACUUACAGCCGAUAGAUGGCAGCCAUAAAAUCAUCAAAAUCAAAGAGGUGGGUUCUCCAUCAAGCUUCCAAAGUUCAAAAGAUUCAUUGCUACUUCAAGUGGAAUGAUGCAAUGGGCACUAUAUCGUAUGAAGAAUUCACCAGUGGCUGCUUAGAGUUUCUUAAGUUGUCACAGGAACUUGAAGACGGUUGGGAAGCCAAAGGUGACGCCCAAAAAGAGGGAAACUUUUAUCUUAUCAAGUUGGAGCGCAUUGAAGAUGUUUCACAAGAUUGCCUUCUUCCAUGUGAUAAAGAUGACAGUGGAAAAGUCAUGGAUAUGAAAGACAGUCUAGAAGCUCUUGGCAUUACGGAAGACGAGGAUCUGUGUCCACCCGAUCCUUCAACAAUUAGCAGUGUUUGUUCGAAAGGCAUUGUAACCUACGAAUAUCACAUUACCUACAGUCUGAGCUAUUCUGUUCCUGUGUUGUUUUUUAAUGCUUACUAUCACUCGGGGAAACUCUUAACCCUUGAGGAAAUGUGGAAAAGAGUAGAUCUACAGCACAGUGAACAGAUCCUACAUAGAAAGUGGGAGAGUCUUACACAGCAAGAACAUCCUGUGCUUGGCAGACCAUUCUAUCAGUUACAUCCGUGUAAUACUUCAAAAUUAAUGGCAGAGUUUAAUAAAGGCUGUAAAGGUUUAACAACUUUUAAGGGCCAAAGGUACAUAACAAGCUGGCUCAGUACUUUUGGACAAGUCAUUGGUCUAAAACUUCCAAUCUGUUAUUUUCAGUGCUUAUAAUUGUGAAUAAAAUUUAUGAAUGAACAAAGAUUAGAUAUUAUUAUAAAUGGACAUAUACUGGAUAUUGUUGCUUAUUAUGUGAAUAAAAUUUAUGAAUGAACAAAGAUUAGAUAUUAUUAUAAAUGGACAUGUACUGGAUAUUUUUGCUUAUUGAAGAAAGUAGAUAAAAAACAGAAAUACAUUUUCUGCAAAUUGUUGGUCAUGCAACUGAAUAUUUAAGAAAUAAGGUUGGAAUAGA